GAUCAUGGCUCAGAUUGAACGCUGGCGGCAGGCCUAACACAUGCAAGUCGAACGGUAACAGGAAACAGCUUGCUGUUUCGCUGACGAGUGGCGGACGGGUGAGUAAUGUCUGGGAAACUGCAUGAUGGGAGGGGGAUAACUACUGGAAACGGUAGCUAAUACCGCAUAAUGUCGCAAGACCAAAGAGGGGGACCUCGGGCCGUCUUGCCAUCGGAUGUGCCCAGAUGGGAGUUAG
rnacentral:rRNA from 1 species